UCUCUCUCUCUCUCUCUCUCUCCCCUCGUCGUUGUGCGCGUCGCCUGCGUGCCGCAGCCGCGCCGCUGCUCUUCAGCCGCGCCGCUGCUCUUCGGCUGCGCCGCCGCUCGCGUGCCUCGCCGCCGUGCGUGCAGCCGCGCCGCCGUGUGCUGCUCGCCGACGCGCCUACGCGUCACUGCUGCGUGCGCCGGGCCACCACCGUCGUGCCAUCGUGCACGCCGGCCGCCGUGCGUCGCUGCCAGCCGCUGUGAGAAGAAGCAAGCAAGCACAGAGAAAGAGCAGCAAGCAUGCAGGAGAAAGCCAGGAAGAAAGAAAAGAAAGAGAAAAGAAAAGGAGAAGAGAAAAGAAAAGAAAAGAAAAGAGAAGAGGAAGGGAAAAAAAAGGAAGAAAAAGGGAAAAGUUGGAAUUUUCGCAAUUUUGUCGGAUUCGUCGUCAAUCCUCCAAAGAUAUGUUUAGAAUGUUGACGUGCGUUUUGGGGAUAGAUCUUGGUAGUUGCACGCACUACCUCAUCACGAUGUCGAUAACUCAACCGGUGUUUAGAAGUUAUGUUUUUGGUGGUCUGUCGUUUGUUUUGUAUAUCUUGUGGUAAGACGCUGGUAGCGUCGUGAAAAUUUUUAUAUGUUGUUUAUAUUAUAUAUUGUCUA